AACUGCUCUCCCGGUCAAAACCAAAAGGUGAGAAGAGAUCUACUGGACAAGCUCACAGCUAUUCUUUCAGCAGGACCCAUCUCUGCAGCAAAGAGGAAACUGACAAACUGGCCUGGAGCCCAGAUCAUGCUAUCAGUGGCCGGAGGAUUGAUUGGCUUCUUUUUUCUAACAGCACUGGGUGUGCGUGCAGCACACGCUAUAACACAGCGCAACCCCAGACAUCAAUAAAGUGUGUAUACCUGCA